rnacentral:rRNA from 1 species
AUCGGAAUUACUGGGCGUAAAGCGCACGCAGGCGGUUUGUUAAGUCAGAUGUGAAAUCCCCGGGCUCAACCUGGGAACUGCAUCUGAUACUGGCAAGCUUGAGUCUCGUAGAGGGGGGUAGAAUUCCAGGUGUAGCGGUGAAAUGCGUAGAGAUCUGGAGGAAUACCGGUGGCGAAGGCGGCCCCCUGGACGAAGACUGACGCUCAGGUGCGAAAGCGUGGGGAGCAAACAGGAUUAGAUACCCUGGUAGUCCACGCCGUAAACGAUGUCGACUUGGAGGUUGUGCCCUUGAGGCGUGGCUUCCGGAGCUAACGCGUUAAGUCGACCGCCUGGGGAGUACGGCCGCAAGGUUAAAACUCAAAUGAAUUGACGGGGGCCCGCACAAGCGGUGGAGCAUGUGGUUUAAUUCGAUGCAACGCGAAGAACC